CAAUGCAAAACCUACCAAACUGUAAUUUUAACCAUGUGCCAUUUAUCCUGUGUCAUAAUAACUCAAAAAAGCUGUGAAGAGGAUGAAAAGGCCACGAUGGUGGGAAGGAGAAGAGGAAAGAGACAUUUAUUAAGUUUACCCAUGAGGAAUUGCUACACAAGGAGUGAAGGAGAGUGAAUUCAAGAAAUCAAAGUUUAUGUGACAGGUCACUUUUCUGGGCGGCCAUAUAAACCUCAAGCAGAAAGCAGUGGGGUGCAGCAGAGGCCAACGGCUCUGUCAUGCAAUGGCCUGAGAUUUAUGGAUCUGAUGUAUCUGAAGACACAUACUACAGGAAGGGUGCCUAUACCUCCAAUGGAAACAGAAAAAGCAGAAAGCUGAGAUCAUGGCUUCCCAGGGCUUGAAAGGGCUAUUGGCAGCCAAGGGCAUUUGGCUCGACCCAGGCUUGACAGAAAAGGAAGAUGCACUGGAUGCUACAAAGGGAAUGAAAUGAAAGCAUCACAACAUAUAAUUUACCACAUGAAAGAUGGUACUUAGGAGUUUGCCAGAACUACUAACUCUACCAGCAGAUGGAAAGAUCAGUCUUGUUACAGGCAGAAGCCUACUGGACACACAGCACAAAAAGAUGGCUUGUAAACAAAUGAGAUGGAUUUUUGUCUUCUUUUUUUUUUUUUUUAAGUAACCUCUACACCCAACGUGGGACUCGAACUCAUGACCCUGAGAUCAAGAGUUGCAUGUUCUACUGACUGAGCCAGCCAGGCGCCUCAAGAAAUGAGAUGGGUUUUCUUAUGGCUUGGAAAAUGACUCUACAGGAGGCAUAAACUCUGAAAUGCAUAUUUGAAACCACUCUUAAUGCUUUACACUCCUACUUCAUAGAAUAAAUCCAUGAGGUAGUCUUCCUGGUGCAACUUUUUGAAAAGAUGAAUGCAGAAGGAUAAAAGGAAGGGUA